AUUGAACGCUGGCGGCAGGCCUAACACAUGCAAGUCGAACGGUAACAGGAAGCAGCUUGCUGCUUCGCUGACGAGUGGCGGACGGGUGAGUAAUGUCUGGGAAGCUGCCUGAUGGAGUGGGAUAACUACUGGAAACGGUAGCUAAUACCGCAUAAUUUCGCAAGACCAAAGAGGGGGACCUUCGGGCCUCUUGCCAUCGGAUGUGCCCAGAUGGGAUUAGCUUGUUUGUGGGGUAACGGCUCACCAAGGCGACGAUCCCUAGCUGGUCUGAGAGAGUGACAAGCCACACUGGAACUGAGACACGGUCCAGACUCCUACGGGAGGCAACAGUGGGGAAUAUUGCACAGUGGGCGCAAGCCUGAUGCAGCCAGGCCGCGUGUAUGAAGAAGGCCUUCGGGUUGUAAAGUACUUUCAGCGGGGAGGAAGGGAGUAAAGUUAAUACCUUUGCUCAUUGACGUUACCCGCAGAAGAAGCACCGGCUAACUCCGUG
rnacentral:rRNA from 1 species